CCUACGGGUGGCAGCAGUGAGGAAUAUUGGUCAAUGGGCGAGAGUCUGAACCAGCCAAGUAGCGUGAAGGAUGACUGCCCUAUGGGUUGUAAACCUCUUUUAUAAGGGAAUAAAACGCGCCACGCGUGCCUUUUUGCAUGUACUUUAUGAAUAAGCAUCGGCUAACUCCGUGCCAGCAGCCGCGGUAAUACGGAGGAUGCGAGCGUUAUCCGGAUUUAUUGGGUUUAAAGGGUGCGUAGGUGGGUAGUUAAGUCAGUCGUGAAAUUUUGCGGCUCAACCGUCAAAGUGCAGUUGAAACUGGCAUUCUUGAGUACAGUAGAGGUAGGCGGAAUGCGUGGUGUAGCGGUGAAAUGCAUAGAUAUCACGAAGAACUCCGAUUGCGAAGGCAGCAUACUGGAGCGUAACUGACAUUGAUGCACGAAAGUGUGGGUAUCGAACAGGAUUAGAUACCCCAGUAGUC
rnacentral:rRNA from 1 species